UCGUAACAAGGUCUCCGUUGGUGAACCAGCGGAGGGAUCAUUACCGAGUUUACAACUCCCAAACCCCUGUGAACAUACCUAUACGUUGCCUCGGCGGAUCAGCCCGCGCCCCGUAAAACGGGACGGCCCGCCCGAGGACCCUAAACUCUGUUUUUAGUGGAACUUCUGAGUAAAACAAACAAAUAAAUCAAAACUUUCAACAACGGAUCUCUUGGUUCUGGCAUCGAUGAAGAACGCAGCAAAAUGCGAUAAGUAAUGUGAAUUGCAGAAUUCAGUGAAUCAUCGAAUCUUUGAACGCACAUUGCGCCCGCCAGUAUUCUGGCGGGCAUGCCUGUUCGAGCGUCAUUUCAACCCUCAAGCUCAGCUUGGUGUUGGGACUCGCGGUAACCCGCGUUCCCCAAAUCGAUUGGCGGUCACGUCGAGCUUCCAUAGCGUAGUAAUAAUACACCUCGUUACUGGUAAUCGUCGCGGCCACGCCGUAAAACCCCAACUUCUGAAUGUUGACCUCGGAUCAGGUAGGAAUACCCGCUGAACUUAAGCAUAUCAAUAA
rnacentral:misc_RNA from 1 species